AUUUAUCUUAUUCAAAUAAGUCAUGUCUGUACAACACAACUAUAAACAUUACGCACGGUCCUUGGCUAAUUAAUUCCAAGUCCUUAAUUAGAAUACAUCGAUUAGUAAUUAGUAUCAAUUAAGUCUGCUUAAUUAUUACGCAAGGUCCUUGGCUAAUUAAUUCCAAGUCCUUAAUUAGAAUACAUCAGUUAGUUAUUAGCAUCAAUUAAGUCUGCUUAAUUAUCACGCACGGUCUUUGGCUAAUUAAUUCCAAGUCCUUAAUUAGAAUACAUCGAUUAGUUAUUAAGCCUGAUUCUCAUUUAUCGUAAACAUCGGCGAUGCCCAUUGUCGGUGGUCAUUGAUUUACCCCGUCAGUGGAAAAAUAAUCACCCUAUAUUAAAGAAGGCAAAAAUUUAUUAAUUUCUUGAUCAGUGCGUUCAACUGAAAGUUUGCUUAAUUAUCACGCACGGUCUUUGGCUAAUUAAUUCCAAGUCCUUAAUUAGAAUACAUCGAUUAGUUAUUAAGCCUGAUUCUCAUUUAUCGUAAACAUCGGCGAUGCCCAUUGUCGGUGGUCAUUGAUUUACC